rnacentral:rRNA from 1 species
GACGAACGCUGGCGGCGUGCCUAAUACAUGCAAGUUGAGCGAUGAAGCUUGGUGCUUGCACCAAUUUGAAGAGCAGCGAACGGGUGAGUAACGCGUGGGGAAUCUGCCUUUGAGCGGGGGACAACAUUUGGAAACGAAUGCUAAUACCGCAUAACAACUUUAAACAUAAGUUUUAAGUUUGAAAGAUGCAAUUGCAUCACUCAAAGAUGAUCCCGCGUUGUAUUAGCUAGUUGGUGAGGUAAAGGCUCACCAAGGCGAUGAUACAUAGCCGACCUGAGAGGGUGAUCGGCCACAUUGGGACUGAGACACGGCCCAAACUCCUACGGGAGGCAGCAGUAGGGAAUCUUCGGCAAUGGACGAAAGUCUGACCGAGAAACGCCGCGUGAGUGAAGAAGGUUGUCGGAUCGGAAAACUCUGUUGGUAGAGAAGAACGUUGGUGAGAGUGGAAAGCUCAUCAAGUGACGGUAACUACCCAGAAAGGGACGGCUAACUACGUG